rnacentral:piRNA from 1 species
UGAGAACUGACAUUAACACAUCCUUAGAGCC